UAUAUCAUAAUAUUUCCAUUUUCAAUACACUUUUCCAUAAUCGAAUAGUACCAUACCUUCUCCAGUGCGUAGUUUUCAACUUUUCUCAAAAUUGAAACCAAUCCCAACGAAUAUAGUAAAUGAUUUUUAACGAACGGUUCCAAUAUACUCGACGUGGUUCAAUAAAUAGACGAAACGAAUUCGAACGGGCGGAAUUCUGGUCGAGCGAGCUUAGUGUGUACGAACGAAACACGAAUUUCGAUCGAACGCUGCGGCCGUUCUUUGGCGGCGUCGUGGUGCACCAGUGUCGCUGGCUUCUGACGCCAUCAGCGCAUUGUGUUCGCCGACGUUCCUGUCGUUGUUGCGCCAUCCUUCGUCCUCUCGAGGACGCCUGCUCGCUGCGUUAUUGACCUCAUUACGCGUCGCGAUGACGCGGGACCCGUGGCAACGCCACGUUGACCGCUUCCAUCCUCCUUGGCAGGGCGAACAUCCAACUCCGUGGAACGGAUCGCGAACUCUGUUCCACCGCAAAUUAGGCAUGCGGCCGCUACCGAAGGUCUCAACGCCUCGGAAAUUAAUUUAUUGCCGGGCAACGUAGUAAAUUGGGAUACCUGAUUGGCCAACGCGUUUGCCUCGAGCAAUUGAUCGAUACCCCUCGUAACUUCGUUCGUAGUUGUCGUACGUCGAGUUUUAAGGUUUGCAAGUAUCGCGUAUAUACGUACUACAAAGAGUAAGGCAGGCUUUACGAGAGUCAGAUGGAUGUUUCGGUCAAGUCGAGUAAUUUCCCUCGUAAGUCGCCAACUUCGGUUAUAAAUAAUUUUUAAACGAUCUAUUCUUCAACAGGCAAUUUGACGCGAUAUUAAUGACGCGAUAAGCAGUGAAAUAUAUCGCGAAAGUUGCCAGACCUUCUUUGUAGUUUUUACCGGGUGUCGGUGGUUAUAAGUUCGCUGGAGACUCGCUUACGCUAGUAUCUCUGUUAUACAUAUCGUAUAAAUAUUGAAACAGUAUAAUUAAUAGGAUUGCGAGAAUCGAUUGAUGUCAGUUACCGAUAUCUGCUGAACUCAAGUUUGUUAUAAAUACUGAUUGCGAGACAGGGGAAUCGAAUCGUGAGCCUGGGACACGGUGACCGAUUGCAGUGAUCGAGUGCUCAAUGGACUCGGACUGUUUUGCACGGGGAAAAACAAAAGACGAUGGAACGUGCGAGGGGAUAGCGUCUUCCAAAAGAAAUUAGUGAGACAAAAGGAACCAUUCUACUUUCAAACGAUCUCUACCAGAUAAAACAACGACCUGGACUCAGCGUAAUUGCAUUCUUCCCUGGCGACUCGGUGCUGGAAAUUCGAGACUUGGCCAGUGAGGCGAGAUGAGACUCGAUUGUCUGGUCCAAGGUGCGCGGAUUGGACGACUUUCUCCGAUAGUUCGAACAGUACCGGUACCAGGAAGUCGCCCCAGGAGUGGAAAGGAAACCACCGGGCGGAUACCAUUGGAGGAGCAGGAGGUGACGAGACCGAAAUCGGCGACGGUGGAACCAUGAAGCUGGCGCGUGACUCUUGAACCGUGCGUGAAAGCUACGAGAUAAGGUUAGCUCUGCUGGUUCACGAUUCGACACCUCUAUCGGAAAAUAUUCUUAGCACGUAACAGCUGAAGAUCGUAGUUGGCCAGUUUAUGGCUGUUUCGCGCCCCGGGAAACCCCGCAAGCUUGUCAUUUGCUCGCUGAUGUCCGGGGGAACGCUGUAUCGUCGAGUGAUUCGAGAAUUGGGCGCCUUAUUGAUUUUGUUAUUGAGAUUGGCGAGACAGGCGGAUAUUUUGUGACGUGUAUUUUUGAUACAUUUAUUAUAUGUUUAUAUGGUGCAAAUUUGUUUCAGCGCGGAAUCGCGUUUCUGUUAUUGAGAGAGUAGGAAUAAUUAAAACGAUUAAAAUACAAUUCAAAAAUGAAUAUUCAAUAAUGGUCUUUACACGGGCUUAACUUGACAAAAAAUCGGUUCGUUGAUUUUAUUUUUAGAGAUUAAUUUUACAUUUUACAUUUUCAUUCUGCAUUUUAUACGGCGCACAGUUGUUAGGAAUUAUCGUAGUUCACGGAGUUAAGCUUGUCACAUGAUCUUUGAGGAUUUAUACUUUGUGGAAUUUACUGAAAGAGGAAGUUCUCGGUUUUAAUGUUUAAAGUGAUUCCCAGGGAUUGAAAUUUUUCUUACGAACAGAAGAAAGCGAAUUAAUAUGACGUGAUCAGACAUUUUACAUUUAUUUUACUAUCUACAACAAAUCUCAUUAUUGGCUUUAUUUACUGGAUAUUUUUUGGCCAGAUAUAUGUUCCGCAUAUUGUAUAAUAUGAAUUUAUUUCAAAAAUAAA